AUAACACUUACCUCCUCCUGGGGGUUGGUUAAAAGCUCCGGCGGUGAAGGAUGAGCCCGCGGCCUAUCAGCUUGUUGGUGGGGUAAUGGCCUACCAAGGCGACGACGGGUAGCCGGCCUGAGAGGGCGACCGGCCACACUGGGACUGAGACACGGCCCAGACUCCUACGGGAGGCAGCAGUGGGGAAUAUUGCGCAAUGGGCGAAAGCCUGAUGCAGCGACGCCGCGUGAGGGAUGACGGCCUUCGGGUUGUAAACCUCUUUCAGCAGGGAAGAAGCGCAAGUGACGGUACCUGCAGAAGAAGCACCGGCUAACUACGUGCCAGCAGCCGCGGUAAUACGUAGGGUGCGAGCGUUGUCCGGAAUUAUUGGGCGUAAAGAGCUCGUAGGCGGUCUGUCACGUCGGAUGUGAAAGCCCGGGGCUUAACCCCGGGUCUGCAUUCGAUACGGGCAGACUAGAGUGUGGUAGGGGAGAUCGGAAUUCCUGGUGUAGCGGUGAAAUGCGCAGAUAUCAGGAGGAACACCGGUGGCGAAGGCGGAUCUCUGGGCCAUUACUGACGCUGAGGAGCGAAAGCGUGGGGAGCGAACAGGAUUAGAUACCCUGGUAGUCCACGCCGUAAACGUUGGGAACUAGGUGUUGGCGACAUUCCACGUCGUCGGUGCCGCAGCUAACGCAUUAAGUUCCCCGCCUGGGGAGUACGGCCGCAAGGCUAAAACUCAAAGGAAUUGACGGAAUCGAAUU
rnacentral:rRNA from 1 species